GCUCUCCUGUUCUUUAUCCCUCUGGGACUAUCGACCCAGUGUCAUUUAUGGGGUUCAGAAGGUGGAAGGCCUGGCAUCUGUAAUUGCUUCCCCACUGAACAUGGGAGUUGACAGGAUAGCAAGAAACAAGAAAUGGAGAGUGGAACAGAGGUCAAGAAAGAGCCAUGUGCAAGCCUGUUCACUGCUUAUGCAGUGUCCCCCACUCAGGAGAGAAGCAAGCCUCAAACCUCCAUUUCUGUCUGUACUAUUCAACAAUGACAAGAUUGAUAACAACAGCAACAAUGAAAACAACAAGGGCAACAAAAGGGAAAAUAAAUAAAUACAAUAACAAAGUUC